rnacentral:lncRNA from 1 species
AACAUUUAAGCGCAAAACUAUUUCGACACAAGCUCUUAUUAUAACAUUACAGAACUUGGGAAUGCAGAUCAGUGGGAGAAACUAUGUAUAUUUACACUUUGUAAUUGAAGAAGGUUCAAAAGUAGCAUGCUAGAAAAAGAUGUGUAGGAAGCAUUAAGCUAAAUUUAUUUUUAUUUUCUUAUUUAUUUUUAAUUCCUAAUUGCAUUUUAAAAAUUCUAAUUGAGUUAAACAACCUAAUAACUACCCACUGUGCAAAAAUAAAUAAAAAUACAACAAAUGAAAAUUAAACACAAAAAAUGCAAAACAAUUAAUCUGCCGGUAAUACUACUUAAUUUUUGUGAUUUUUGUAUUUGUAAAAAUAACCCUAAUUACCGAAUAAUCUAGCAAAACUAUGAAACUAAAUCCUAAAUUCUUGUGCAAUCCUGUAUAUUUUUUAUGAUUUUAUGUAUGCAUUUAUGAAAACACAGUGACACACGCAAUUAAAUCCUAAGAACAAAUAUUUAAAAGGAAAAAUCCUAAACUUGAGAAUCUUAUAGGGUCAUCUCAACGGGGAAAAAAUCAUAUGAUCAUAGUGGUUGGUCACAUUCUGACCCAUACAAUUUGAUGGGAGGGAAAAGCUUAUAAUAGUUAAUUAUAAACACUUUAUAUGGUUGAGCAGAAGAAAUUUUUGUCAUAAUACAAAUUGCAUGGGAUACACCCUAGAGCACCUAGUUGCUUUGUUCUUCUGGUGCCACCUAAUCUUAUCCCUAUUUGUCAAUAUACAAGUGCAUUCCCUAGUUCUUUUUACCUUGGUUGUUUCUUUUGCUUAUAUGCAUUUGAUGUGUAUCCAUCACUAUACAUAUUUUACUAUGGCAAAAUACAUCGACAGCCCCUUAAAGUUCUUCACUUUUUGCACUUAAACACUUUAUCUUAAAUUCGUUCUAUUUAAACACUCUAAUCAUAUCUCAAGUGUGUCAUCUAGACACAAACUUGACAGCCAGCCACAAGAGAUGUGUGUAAUUCACAUACCAAAGUGACAAAUAAGAUGCGGACACGUGAAUUUAACUUAAAUAAAUUUUAAAAAAUAUUGAAAAAAAUGUUAAGAGAAACACAAGAAUGCACCCCCUCCCCCGGUCAUCUUCCCCGACGAACCCCCCUCCUAUUUUCUUCCCUGAGAACCCCUCCCUAUUUCGUCUCCUUUAAGGAACUCUCUGCCGCCAUUGUUUUCUUCCCUAGAUCUGCCAAGUGUGGAAACGGACAUGAAGUUAAUUAGUUUAAGAUUUCAUGUAACAAAUUAAUAAUCUAAACAUAUAUAUUAGAAUACUCUUUAUUAAUCUUCCUUGAUGAUCUGCAAUUUCUUUGUAUAUGUGAUAAAUGUAAUUCCAAAUAUACUUACAAAUUUCAAGUGGCAAUUGAACCCAAUAACAAAAAUCUGAAGGAAAGUUACGAGAAUUAUUUCAUUGGUGAAAACCCAGUUCUAAAUCAAAAAUAAAAUAAAGUUUUUGAGAAGAAUUAUUAAAGAUAAGUUGAAAAUAUGAGUAAAAAUACCUAAAAUCAUGAGUUUUCCAUAAAAUUUGCUUUAAAAUCAUUAGAUUUUGAUCGAAACUAACUCAAAAGAGCUCGCAUUCUAAAAGAGAGAGAGAGAAAACACUUGUUUAGAGUUCUGGAAAAAUAUCAUCAAUGUUCAUCGCCUGCUUUUUAUGUUUUUUGAAGAUAGAGAUGGGGUUGGGGAGGGAGGGGAGACAGAAAGUAGAUAGCAUUCGGAAAAUGAGGAGUUCGGUUUUUGGGCCAAUUCCCAGACCCCACCUGGUGGGAGUAUACUGGAUAGUUGUUGUUGGUUUUUGGGCAAUUUCACGCACUUGAAAAAUGUGAGAAACAUUUGGCUUGCCAUGUCAGUUUUUUGUGUCUAAAUGACACAUUUGAGAUGUGGUUAGAAUGUUCAAAUAAAACAGAAGUUUGAGUGUUUAAGUGAAAGGUGUGGACAUAGGGUCUAUUGAUGUAUUUUGCCUUUCAUUAUUAAUAUUCAGUUAGUUUUCCUACAACAGAGUGAAGCAAGGCUUCUAAGAAUCAACAAGCUCGUUUUCAAAUUUAUAUAAUUUUUUGGAACAAUAUAUUUCCAUGCCCUUGUUCAUAAAUAAUCAAUAGUACGUAAUAUACUUCAAAACCUGUUAGUGUUACAAGUCUUUAAGCUAUUAUAGAAUAAAUGGUAGCAACAUUUAAGCGCAAAACUAUUUCGACACAAGCUCUUAUUAUAACAUUACAGAACUUGGGAAUGCAGAUCAGUGGGAGAAACUAUGUAUAUUUACACUUUGUAAUUGAAGAAGGUUCAAAAGUAGCAUGCUAGAAAAAGAUGUGUAGGAAGCAUUAAGCUAAAAAUAACAGGGAAAAUCAAUCAGCGGGAUGAAGAAGGCAA